GCCUGGGUAGCCCAGUCGAUUGAGCGUCUGACUUCGGCUCAGGUCAUGAUCUCACAGUUCGUGGGUUCGAGCCCUGCAUCAGGCU
rnacentral:tRNA from 1 species